rnacentral:rRNA from 1 species
UAAAACGUAGGACGCAAGCGUUAUCCGGAGUUACUGGGCGUAAAGGGCGGGCAGGCGGCUUGUCAAGUGGGAUGUCAAAGCGCACAGCUUAACUGAGCGAGGCCAUUCCAAACUGAUGAGCUGGAGGGCAGUAGAGGUAGGCGGAAUUCCGGGUGGAGUGGUGAAAUGCGUAGAGAUCCGGAGGAACACCAGAGGCGAAGGCGGCCUACUGGGCUGCACCUGACGCUGAGCCGCGAAAGCCAGGGGAGCGAACGGGAUUAGAAACCCCGGUAGUCCUGGCCGUAAACAAUGUCAGCUGGGUGUCGGGGGGUAUCCUCUCGGCGCCGAAGCCAACGCGAUAAGCUGACCGCCUGGGGAGUACGGUCGCAAGGCUA